rnacentral:rRNA from 1 species
UACGGAGGAUCCGAGCGUUAUCCGGAUUUAUUGGGUUUAAAGGGUGCGCAGGCGGGAGAUUAAGUCGGCGGUGAAAUUUUGCAGCUCAACUGUAAAAGUGCCUUCGAAACUGGUUUCCUUGAGUGUAGAUGAAGUAGGCGGAAUUUGUGGUGUAGCGGUGAAAUGCUUAGAUAUUACACAGAACACCAAUUGCGUAGGCAGCUUACUGAGCCGACACUGACGCUGAGGCACGAAAGCGUGGGGAUCGAACAGGAUUAGAUACCCCCGUAGUCCCU